GGAGGAAAGCAGGGGAUCGCAAGACCUCGCGUUAAUGGAGCGGCCGAUGCCGGAUUAGCUAGUUGGUGGGGUAAAGGCUCACCAAGGCGACGAUCCGUAGCUGGUCUGAGAGGACGACCAGCCACACUGGGACUGAGACACGGCCCAGACUCCUACGGGAGGCAGCAGUGGGGAAUUUUGGACAAUGGGCGCAAGCCUGAUCCAGCCAUGCCGCGUGAGUGAAGAAGGCCUUCGGGUUGUAAAGCUCUUUCGCAAGGAAAGAAAACUUAUCUCCUAAUACGAGAUGAGGAUGACGGUACCUUGAUAAGAAGCACCGGCUAACUACGUGCCAGUAGCCGCGGUAAUACGUAGGGUGCGAGCGUUAAUCGGAAUUACUGGGCGUAAAGCGUGCGCAGGCGGUUUCGUAAGUCAGAUGUGAAAUCCCCGGGCUCAACCUGGGAACUGCGUUUGAAACUACAAAGCUAG
rnacentral:rRNA from 1 species